rnacentral:lncRNA from 1 species
GUCCUAAAAUAAUAUUUAUCCUAAAACAAGGAGAGGGUUUUGAAGAGAGAAUAAGACCUUCAGUAGGUGUUGUACAAGGUUCCAAUGCACGGUCCCUAUUAUAGUUGGAUAAAUUCAUUUUCUCAUUUAUUAUCUUCUUUGCUAGUCGUACUCCUCAUUUUAUAAUUGCGUUGUCGUAAUAUGUGAAGUCUUGCUUGAGAAUGCUCCGAUCACCUGGUUGUGGAAGAAAGAAUGAAAAUUGCAAUAUCAAAAUCCUAAUUCUAAUAGAAUACUAACAAUUCUCUAAUUAAACCAUAAUAAUGCUAAGCAAGCGUAAUCAAAUUCAAAAAAACCUCAAAGAAAUUUCAAGCAAACAAUAAGAACUCUUAAAGAAAUAUUAAAAGGCUCACAAAUAUCACUCAAAUACAUCUCAAUUUAAUUUUUAAUUUAAUUCUAGUUAAAAUCCUAUUGAACUUCAUUCAAACUUUAGGCCUAAACUAAUUAAAUCUUAAAUCCUAAUAAAAUCCUAAAUCCUAAAUCAAACCUUAAACAAAUCUUAAAUCAAACUCCAAUAAAAUUCUAAACCAAAUCCAAAUCAAAUCCUAAACCAAAUCUUAAAUCCUAAAUCAAACUCUAACCAAAUCCUAAUCCAAAUCCUAAACCCUAAACCAAAUCCUAAUCCAAAUCCUAAACCCUAAACCAAAUCCUAAUCCAAAUCCUAAAUCCUAACCAAACCCUAAUCAAAAUCCUAAAUCCUAAAUAAAACUCUAACUAAAUCCUAAAUCAAAUCCUAAAUCCUAAACCAAAUCCUAAUCAAGCCCUAAAUCCUAAAUAAAUCCUAAC